rnacentral:rRNA from 1 species
UACGAAGGGAGCUAGCGUUGUUCGGAAUCACUGGGCGUAAAGCGCACGUAGGCGGACUCUUAAGUCAGGGGUGAAAUCCUGGAGCUCAACUCCAGAACUGCCUUUGAUACUGGGAGUCUUGAGUUCGGGAGAGGUGAGUGGAACUGCGAGUGUAGAGGUGAAAUUCGUAGAUAUUCGCAAGAACACCAGUGGCGAAGGCGGACUCACUGGCCCGA